GUAAGCAGCUCAGUGGUAGAGUUCCCGCUUCGUAUGCGGGAAGACUUGGGUUUGAUUCCAGGCUGCUUACC
rnacentral:tRNA from 1 species